UAACACGUAGGCAACCUGCCCACAAGACAGGGAUAACUACCGGAAACGGUAGCUAAUACCCGAUACAUCCUUUUCCUGCAUGGGAGAAGGAGGAAAGGCGGAGCAAUCUGUCACUUGUGGAUGGGCCUGCGGCGCAUUAGCUAGUUGGUGGGGUAAAGGCCUACCAAGGCGACGAUGCGUAGCCGACCUGAGAGGGUGAUCGGCCACACUGGGACUGAGACACGGCCCAGACUCCUACGGGAGGCAGCAGUAGGGAAUCUUCCGCAAUGGGCGAAAGCCUGACGGAGCAACGCCGCGUGAGUGAUGAAGGUUUUCGGAUCGUAAAGCUCUGUUGCCAGGGAAGAACGCUUGAGAGAGUAACUGCUCUUGAGGUGACGGUACCUGAGAAGAAAGCCCCGGCUAACUACGUGCCAGCAGCCGCGGUAAUACGUAGGGGGCAAGCGUUGUCCGGAAUUAUUGGGCGUAAAGCGCGCGCAGGCGGCUCUUUAAGUCUGGUGUUUAAUCCCGAGGCUCAACUUCGGGUCGCACUGGAAACUGGGGAGCUUGAGUGCAGAAGAGGAGAGUGGAAUUCCACGUGUAGCGGUGAAAUGCGUAGAGAUG
rnacentral:rRNA from 1 species